rnacentral:tRNA from 3 species
GCCGUUGUAGCUCACAGGGAAGAGCACCCGAGUGAAGCCCGGGAGGUAGCACGUUCGAUCCGUGCCAACGGCGCCA